UUAUGGUUGGAGAGAUGGCU
rnacentral:misc_RNA from 1 species